rnacentral:tRNA from 1 species
UGGGGAAUGGUGUAAUGGUAACACUCCAGUUUUUGGUACCGUCAUUCUAGGUUCGAGUCCUAGUUCCCCAGCCA